rnacentral:rRNA from 1 species
UACGUAGGGGGCUAGCGUUGUCCGGAAUCAUUGGGCGUAAAGAGCGUGUAGGCGGUCCGGUAAGUCCGCUGUGAAAGUCGGGGGCUCAACCCUCGAAUGCCGGUGGAUACUGUCGGGCUAGAGUGCGGAAGAGGCGAGUGGAAUUCCUGGUGUAGCGGUGAAAUGCGCAGAUAUCAGGAAGAACACCCGUGGCGAAGGCGGCUUUCUGGGACGGUACUGACGCUGAGACGCGAAAGCGUGGGGAGCGAACAGG